rnacentral:misc_RNA from 1 species
UAAAGUGCGAUAUCUAGUGCGAUUUGCAUGAACCUGUGAGUCAUCGAGUUUUUGAACGCAACUUGCACCCGUAAGGGUAUGUCCCUUUGAGUACAGAACCAAUAUAUAUGUUGGAUGAUGUCCCUAAGAGGCUCAUCUUAAAGGUAGCGUUAGGUUCUAAGGGAAUGGUAGCCAUACUUCAGUAUAUUUAAAGGUGUAGUAUAUAGUUGAGGCAGUGUGAAGGUUACACUGAUAUUAGACUAUAUGUGCACCCUUUUGUAACUGUUCUACUAAUAUUACCCUAAUUAUAUCCUGUCUCAGAGGGGCAAGAUUACCCGCUGAACUUAA